AAUCAGCAGUCUGUGCUUUAACAAGCGUUCUGGGUGAUUCUGAUGGAGACUGAAGUUUGCAAGCACUGUACUAAAGUGAUAAACGCCCAUUCUCGUCUACCGUAGACAUCUGUGGAUUUUAGCACAGAAAUAAGAGUAAUUAUGUCUGGACUGGGAAAUACUUCAUGGAGAAGGUGACACUUUAAAGGAAGCCUCAAGCUAGAUAAGCCAGGGAAAAGCAAUUCAGGCAGAGUACUGUGUACCCAAAGGCACAUAGGCAUGGAUUAGCCUGGCCUUCGGAGGAGUCUAUAAGUAGUUCUGCGGCAGGGUCCCGGGCAUGGCAGGGAGAUGAGGACGGAGAUGGAGGCAGGCGCCUUGAAUGCCAAGUUUCAAGCAGGGAACUGAUAACCUGGUGUAUAAGUGUGUAGAGAGAAUCUUGGAAGAAGCUUCAGGAAAGGAAGAAACAAGGCCAUCAAAACCUUCAGAGCGAAUAAGGAAUAAAGUUAACUUAAAAGCUUCACAGCAAAGGAAACCAUAAACAAAACGAAAAGACAACCCUCAGAAUGGGAGAAAAUAUUUGCAAAUGAAGCGACCAACAAGGGAUUAAUAUCCAAAAUACAAAAGCAGCUCAUGCAGCUCUAUGUCAAAAAACCAGACAACCCAAUCAAAAAAUGGGCAGAUCUAAAUAGACAUUUCUCCAAAGACGA